rnacentral:sRNA from 1 species
AUGCAUAUUGGAUAUCUAAAUAGAGAUAUCAAGAAAUGAAGAUAUGAGUUUCCAGUUCCAGGGAGAAAUUCAGACUAGAAAUAUAAAUUUAGGAAUUUUAAAGUUAGUGGUCACAUUUAAAGCUGCAGAAUACAAAGAGAUCACCUGUGUGAGAGAACUGAGUCCUGAAACAUACCCAUGUUUAAAGAUCUGGGAGGUGUAGAGGAACUAUCAAAGGAGACUGAGAAGGAGCAGCCGGUGAGGUGUGCAGAAAAACAAGAUAAGCAAAAAGAAAAGUAAGAGAUACGGAACUGGACUUCCCUUUGGCAAAAAAUUUAGAAAAUGAUAAUUAGACUCCGCUUUCUGUCUCUCUGAAGAUAACGUUAAGCUGCAGCUCCAUAUCUGUGAAAACCCAUUUCAUAGCAUCUGCAUCCCUGGGUUGCUAAAUACCCUUGUCUAGUUACCCGAAUAUUAAUGGAUCCCAUGGAAUAAAGUGGCGUGAUUUAGGCGCAAACAAUUACCAAAGGAUUUUGAAAAGCAGUAACUCGAAAUUAUCUUGUAAAGUUGAGAUUAAUCUGAGAAGAACUAUUGUAAGAUUGGGAAUCAAGUAACAAAAUAAAGA